UACGUAGGGACCAAGCGUUGUUCGGAUUUACUGGGCGUAAAGGGCGCGUAGGCGGCAAUUCAAGUCAUCUGUGAAAUCUCCGGGCUUAACCCGGAACGGUCAGAUGAUACUGCUUUGCUAGAGUGCGGAAGGGGCAAUCGGAAUUCUCGGUGUAGCGGUGAAAUGCGUAGAUAUCGAGAGGAACACCUGAGGUGAAGACGGGUUGCUGGGCCGACACUGACGCUGAUAGCGCGAAAGCCAGGGGAGCAAACGGG
rnacentral:rRNA from 1 species